AUUCUACUCCCUCCGUUGCACAAUACAUGCCUUCUAUUUGUCAAAAUAUAUAUGUAUCUAGACAUGUUUUAGUAUAUAGGUACAUCCAUUUUUGGACAAAUGGAAGUCAAGUAUUUUGGAACGGAGGGAGUAUACA
rfam:Triticum aestivum genome assembly, contig: Triticum_aestivum_CS42_TGACv1_scaffold_501465_6BL